rnacentral:misc_RNA from 1 species
GAUGAAGAACGCAGCGAAAUGCGAUAAGUAAUGUGAAUUGCAGAAUUCAGUGAAUCAUCGAAUCUUUGAACGCACAUUGCGCCCGCUAGUAUUCUGGCGGGCAUGCCUGUCCGAGCGUCAUUUCAACCCUCAAGCCCCCGGGCUUGGUGUUGGGGAUCGGCGAGCCUCCGCGCCCGCCGUCCCCUAAAUCUAGUGGCGGUCUCGCUGUAGCUUCCUCUGCGUAGUAGCACACCUCGCACUGGGAAACAGCGCGGCCACGCCGUAAAACACCCAACUUCUGAACGUUGACCUCGAAUCAGGUAGGACUACCCGCUGAACUUAAGCAUAUCAAUAAGCGGAGGA